CCUACGGGAGGCAGCAGUGGAGAAUAUUGCACAAUGGGGGAAACCCUGAUGCAGCAACGCCGCGUGAAGGAAGAAGUAUUUCGGUAUGUAAACUUCUAUCAGCAGGGAAGAAAAUGACGGUACCUGACUAAGAAGCCCCGGCUAACUACGUGCCAGCAGCCGCGGUAAU
rnacentral:rRNA from 1 species